CACCAGCUCCGGCUUGCUCCCUGCCCACUCCCACGGGGACGUUCCGUGCAGCGGCCGCCGCUUCUUUCACACUUUAGUUAGGAGCCGCGCGCCGCGCUCAGAUACUGGAGAGCUGGCCGCGCGCCGCCGCCUCCCGCACGCACGCACGCGGGCCGGGCUUCGGGGGUUUCGGCUCUUACUCCCGGCGUCUGGGAGGAGGGGGAGACCCGGACUCACUGUGGGGAGGAGGAGGAGGAAGAGGAGGAGAAGGGAGGAAGAAAACAAGCGAGGAGGAUCCGGGCGGGGGGCGGGAGGCUUACCACCUUCAGCCCCCCCCGCGAGCGCCCAAGGUGCGCACAUUUUGACCGACUCAGCAAGAAGGUGGAUUUUCCUUGUGUCUAAAGAGAAGAAAAUGUCCCCGUGUCUGUAGAGAUGCUUUGCAGUUCAGCCCGGCUGAAGCUGACCGAAUGAGACUAUGGGCUGUGCCUCUGCGAAGCAUGUUGCCACUGUUCAAAAUGAAGAGGAAGCCCAGAAAGGGAAGAACUACCAGAAUGGAGACGUGUUUGGUGAUGAGUAUAGGAUCAAACCGGUGGAAGAGGUCAAAUACAUGAAAAAUGGGGCAGAAGAGGAGCAAAAAAUAGCAGCCAGGAACCAAGAAAACUUGGAAAAAAGUGCCAGUUCAAAUGUAAGACUUAAAACUAAUAAAGAGAUUCCGGGAUUAGUUCAUCAACCCAGAGCAAACAUGCACAUCUCUGAAAGCCAGCAAGAAUUCUUCAGAAUGCUGGAUGAAAAAAUUGAAAAGACCUUUACAUCUGUUGAAAAAUCAUUUACACUUAGAAAAUGUUUGGGUUCCUGAAGUGGCCUGAUUUCCUUGGCCCCAGAACUAACCUAGUUGGUGAGAAACAUGGGUCGAGAUUACUGUUCGGAAGAAGAAGAUAUCACAUAGCACCAAUUCUACCACUCAAACUGGGAGCUACUACUGUGUAAAUAGGUUACACCCCACGUUGAAAUCUUUGCAAAGGUCGGUUCUCUUCAGCGAACAGCACUAUAGCAAAAGAAGAUCGUUCCAUAUCGUAUGCCCCAUUAAAUUACAAUGUUUCUUAAUGAACUUGCAAAGGAAUAUUGCUAAAAACAAACAAAAAAAAAACUGUUAUCGAACUUUCUUUGUUGCUGCUAGUUAAAACUUGUUGCAACUUUUCACUUCUCUCAGUGUCCAGGUCUGCAGCAAAAUUCUGCAAUUUCACCUUAAAGAUACUGUUGGUUUUACAGAUGCUCUCCAACCUAUUUUCUAUAAGAUAAGGUAGUGGUGAACUCAGAUAUCCAACUUCUGUCCUAGACCGGUUCCGCUUCUAAGACAAGCGCCUCCUUCCCUCUCUCCUCCUUCCCUGCCUUCCCCUGAGCAGUCCAAAGCCUUGCUUCUCACUGGCAGUGUCGCGCUUUGGAGAGGGGACGGUUGCUAUGGCAAAAGCCUUGUUUCUCUGUGAAGAAGAAGUAGAGACGCUGUUGUCGAUUAAAAGCAUGUUGUGACAUGACUCCUGGAAGUGACAUAGGAGCGAACGGCAGGUGGUUUCAUUUCCUGGGUCUCUUAAUCAAAGAUCAAGCUUGCAGCGUCAGUUUUGCUCCGAUGCAGACGGAAGUGUGAUCACAAUCAUUUUGAAUCCCUCUUGCCUACUUUUUUUUCUAAGAAAAUAAACAUUUUACUGUUUUUA